rnacentral:lncRNA from 1 species
GUUGAUCCAAGGUCUAAAUAUGUUAUUCCUAAAUUAAUAGAGAAAUUUGGCAAGCUUGAGAAUUCAGUUGUCUUCUCAAUAUAUUAAUAUUCAUGCAACGAUUAAUUAAGUUGAAAAAUUUGAGUUGAACAAAUUUAUUGAGGAAACUUCUCAUGAAGUAGACAAACCCAAAAAUUCAAACAAGAUGAUAAUUGUGUUGAUAUAAAAUUGGAGAAGUUAGAAGAAGAGGUUGAUAAGAUCAAAGAAAGAGAAAAAAAGUGAAGAAGAAUUGCCAAAUUUGUUGUGUUUUGUUGUUCUGUACUACUAAUAGCUAUAAACUAUUGGCUUGGGAUGAUACAUAUAAAGAAAGGUUCAAUGAAGUUACCUUAGAUGCAGG